AAUAGAUACCCCGGUAGUCCUAGCCGUAAACGAUACUCGCUAGGUGUCGGCCACGGUGCGACCGUGGUCGGUGCCGUAGGGAAGCCGUGAAGCGAGCCACCUGGGAAGUACGGCCGCAAGGCUGAAACUUAAAGGAAUUGGCGGGGGAGCACUACAACGGGUGGAGCCUGCGGUUUAAUUGGAUCCAACGCCGGAAAUCUUACCGGGACCGACAGCAAUAUGAAGGCCAGGCUGAAGACUUUGCCGGAUUAGCUGAGAGGUGGUGCAUGGCCGUCGUCAGUUCGUACUGUGAAGCAUCCUGUUAAGUCAGGCAACGAGCGAGACCCACGCCCACAGUUGCCAGCGUACUCUCCGGAGUGACGGGUACACUGUGGGGACCGCCGCUGCUAAAGCGGAGGAAGGAAUGGGCAACGGUAGGUCAGUAUGCCCCGAAUAUCCCGGGCUACACGCGGGCUACAAUGGUUGGUACAAUGGGUAUCUACCCCGAAAGGGGAUGGAAAUCUCCUAAAGCCAAUCUUAGUCCGGAUUGAGGGCUGCAACUCACCCUCA
rnacentral:rRNA from 1 species